rnacentral:lncRNA from 8 species
GCAUGGGUACAUCUGGGUUCCAAAUGGAAAGUUAAAUGGUUUCAUUGACGGUCUGACCAGUGCAAGUGAAUUGUGUGGUGUAGCAACAACGUUAUUGGAUGAGGAUGUUCGUGUUAGACAAAGGGUCUAAUUAUGUUUUUUUUCUCCCUCCCAAAGGUGUCCACAAUUUUUUGGGGAUGGGCGGUGGGCCCCUCCUCUCCAACAGUGACGAAAUAACAGUGGGUGUAAAGAGAAUUUGAACUUGCAGCCGGCUACCACUUCUUGGUUGCUCUUGCCCGGAUCAGAACAAGCAACAUACUGGAGUGGGACACUGCACCACAUGAGCAGUGAUUGGAGAGGAUCUGCGCACCCGGGAAAUAAGUGCUCAGUGACCGACUUUCAGAUAAAAUAUUUAUUGGGCACUUUUUACGCAUGACUAUACUGGGAGUAACUGGAAUUUCAAGGAUAUAAACUGAUUCUCUUUCUAUAUUUCAUGGAGUUAAAACCUUGUUUAAGGUUCAAGAUGAUACUGAAUAUAAAACAUAUCCUCUGGUUAUACUGCCUGUGUCAAAGUGCAUCUGGGUUCGGUAAGUGUUGCCUACCACUACUUCUACUUUUACUAUUACUACUGCUACUACUACUACUACAGGCUACUACUACUACUAUUACUAGUAGUACUACUAUUAAACUACUCUCUAUCUCUCUCUCUCUCUGUACAGUUUCUGUAUGUGUGAGUUUGUUAAAAAAAGGAUUCGUUUCACCAUAUUAAAGUGAGAGUUCAGUUCACAUAACAUGGUUGUCCUUAAAAUAAGUGACAUGCGUAAAUUAAUCACUAAUCACAUGAAAUAAAUAAUAAUCUUCCGAUAUGACUUUGUCAAAGCAACAAAAUGACUAGGGCUUCACAGUGACAAUGAAAUUUGGACACAUUUUGGGAUUAAGUGGGUUAAAAUCUUCCUAGAAGUGACACAGGUUUUGACAGAGGGACAUGUCAGAAUGCUGAAUUUUGGAACUUUAGCAAGCCUUUAUUGAAUUGUCCAUGUGGUCUAUAUUAAAGGGCACUUCAUUUAAUAUACGGUUGAAGUCGGAAGUUUACAUACACUUAGGUUGGAGUCAUUAAAACUAGUUUUUCAACCACUCCACAAAUUUCUUGUUAACAAACUAUUGUUUUGGCAAGUCGGUUAGGACAUCUACUUUGUGCAUGACAGAAGUAAUUUUUCCAACAAUUGUUUACAGACAGAUUAUUUCACUUAUAAUUCACUGUAUCACAAUUCCAGUGGGUCAGAAGUUUACAUACACUAAGUUGACUGUGCCUUUAAACAGCAUGGAAAAUUCAAGAGAAUGUCAUCAUGGCUUUAGAAGCUUCUGAUAGGCUAAUUGACAUCAUUUGAGUCAAUUGGAGGUGUAGCUGUGGAUGUAUUUCAAGGUCUACCUUCAAACUCAGUGAAUCUUUGCUUGACAUCAUGGGAAAAUCAAAAGAAAUCAGACCUCAGAAAAUAAAUUGAAGACCUCCACAAGUCUGGUUCAUCCUUGGGAGUAAUUUCCAACCGCCUGACGGUACCACGUUCAUCUGUACAAACAAUAGUACGCAAGUAUAAACACCAUGGGACCAUGCAGCCAUCAUACCGCUCAGGAAGGAGACGUGUUCUGUCUCCUAGAGAUUAACGUACUUUGGUGCGAAAAGUGCAAAUCAAUCCCAGAACAACAGCAAAGGACCUUGUGAAGAUGCUGGAGGAAACAGGUACAAAAGUAUCUAUAUUCACAGUAAAACGAGUCCUAUAUCGACAUAACCUGAAAGACCGCUCAGCAAGGAAGAAGCCACUGCUCCAAAACCGCCAUAAAAAGACAGACUAUGGUUUGCAACUGCACAUGGGGACAAAGAUCAUACUUUUUGGAAAAAUGUCCUCUGGUCUGAUGAAACAAAAAUAGAACUGUUUGGCCAUAAUGACCAUCGUUAUGUUUGGAGGAAAAAGGGGGAGGCUUGCAAGCCGAUGAACACCAUAUCAACUGUG